rnacentral:rRNA from 1 species
UUAAGCGACUAAGCGUACACGGUGGAUGCCCUGGCAGUCAGAGGCGAUGAAGGACGUGCUAAUCUGCGAAAAGCGUCGGUAAGGUGAUAUGAACCGUUAUAACCGGCGAUGUCCGAAUGGGGAAACCCAGUGCAAUUCGUUGCACUAUCGUUAACUGAAUACAUAGGUUAACGAGGCGAACCGGGGGAACUGAAACAUCUAAGUACCCCGAGGAAAAGAAAUCAACCGAGAUUCCCCCAGUAGCGGCGAGCGAACGGGGAGCAGCCCAGAGUCUGAAUCAGCUUGUGUGUUAGUGGAACGGUCUGGAAAGUCCGACGGUACAGGGUGAUAGUCCCGUACACCAAAAUGCACAGGCUGUGAACUCGAAGAGUAGGGCGGGACACGUGGUAUCCUGUCUGAAUAUGGGGGGACCAUCCUCCAAGGCUAAAUACUCCUGACUGACCGAUAGUGAACCAGUACCGUGAGGGAAAGGCGAAAAGAACCCCGGCGAGGGGAGUGAAAAAGAACCUGAAACCGUGUACGUACAAGCAGUGGGAGCACCUUCGGGUGUGACUGCGUACCUUUUGUAUAAUGGGUCAGCGACUUAUAUUCUGUAGCAAGGUUAACCGUAUAGGGGAGCCGCAGGGAAACCGAGUCUUAACUGGGCGUUAAGUUGCAGGGUAUAGACCCGAAACCCGGUGAUCUAGCCAUGGGCAGGUUGAAGGUUGGGUAACACUAACUGGAGGACCGAACCGACUAAUGUUGAAAAAUUAGCGGAUGACUUGUGGCUGGGGGUGAAAGGCCAAUCAAACCGGGAGAUAGCUGGUUCUCCCCGAAAGCUAUUUAGGUAGCGCCUCGUGAAUUCAUCUUCGGGGGUAGAGCACUGUUUCGGCUAGGGGGUCAUCCCGACUUACCAACCCGAUGCAAACUACGAAUACCGAAGAAUGUUAUCACGGGAGACACACGGCGGGUGCUAACGUCCGUCGUGAAGAGGGAAACAACCCAGACCGCCAGCUAAGGUCCCAAAGUCAUGGUUAAGUGGGAAACGAUGUGGGAAGGCACAGACAGCCAGGAUGUUGGCUUAGAAGCAGCCAUCAUUUAAAGAAAGCGUAAUAGCUCACUGGUCGAGUCGGCCUGCGCGGAAGAUGUAACGGGGCUAAACCAUGCACCGAAGCUGCGGCAGCGACACUAUGUGUUGUUGGGUAGGGGAGCGUUCUGUAAGCCUGCGAAGGUGACCUGUGAGGGUUGCUGGAGGUAUCAGAAGUGCGAAUGCUGACAUAAGUAACGAUAAAGCGGGUGAAAAGCCCGCUCGCCGGAAGACCAAGGGUUCCUGUCCAACGUUAAUCGGGGCAGGGUGAGUCGACCCCUAAGGCGAGGCCGAAAGGCGUAGUCGAUGGGAAACAGGUUAAUAUUCCUGUACUUGGUGUUACUGCGAAGGGGGGACGGAGAAGGCUAUGUUAGCCGGGCGACGGUUGUCCCGGUUUAAGCAUGUAGGCUGGUUGUCCAGGCAAAUCCGGAUAAUCAAGGCUGAGGUGUGAUGACGAGGCACUACGGUGCUGAAGUAACAAAUGCCCUGCUUCCAGGAAAAGCCUCUAAGCAUCAGGUAACAUCAAAUCGUACCCCAAACCGACACAGGUGGUCAGGUAGAGAAUACCAAGGCGCUUGAGAGAACUCGGGUGAAGGAACUAGGCAAAAUGGUGCCGUAACUUCGGGAGAAGGCACGCUGGUGUGUAGGUGAAGUCCCUGCGGAUGGAGCUGAGACCAGUCGAAGAUACCAGCUGGCUGCAACUGUUUAUUAAAAACACAGCACUGUGCAAACACGAAAGUGGACGUAUACGGUGUGACGCCUGCCCGGUGCCGGAAGGUUAAUUGAUGGGGUUAUCCGUAAGGAGAAGCUCUUGAUCGAAGCCCCGGUAAACGGCGGCCGUAACUAUAACGGUCCUAAGGUAGCGAAAUUCCUUGUCGGGUAAGUUCCGACCUGCACGAAUGGCGUAAUGAUGGCCAGGCUGUCUCCACCCGAGACUCAGUGAAAUUGAACUCGCUGUGAAGAUGCAGUGUACCCGCGGCAAGACGGAAAGACCCCGUGAACCUUUACUAUAGCUUGACACUGAACAUUGAGCCUUGAUGUGUAGGAUAGGUGGGAGGCUUUGAAGCGUGGACGCCAGUCUGCGUGGAGCCAACCUUGAAAUACCACCCUUUAAUGUUUGAUGUUCUAACGUUGGCCCCUUACCGGGGUUGCGGACAGUGUCUGGUGGGUAGUUUGACUGGGGCGGUCUCCUCCCAAAGCGUAACGGAGGAGCACGAAGGUUAGCUAAUCCUGGUCGGACAUCAGGAGGUUAGUGCAAUGGCAUAAGCUAGCUUGACUGCGAGCGUGACGGCGCGAGCAGGUGCGAAAGCAGGUCAUAGUGAUCCGGUGGUUCUGAAUGGAAGGGCCAUCGCUCAACGGAUAAAAGGUACUCCGGGGAUAACAGGCUGAUACCGCCCAAGAGUUCAUAUCGACGGCGGUGUUUGGCACCUCGAUGUCGGCUCAUCACAUCCUGGGGCUGAAGUAGGUCCCAAGGGUAUGGCUGUUCGCCAUUUAAAGUGGUACGCGAGCUGGGUUUAGAACGUCGUGAGACAGUUCGGUCCCUAUCUGCCGUGGGCGCUGGAGAAUUGAGGGGGGCUGCUCCUAGUACGAGAGGACCGGAGUGGACGCAUCACUGGUGUUCGGGUUGUCAUGCCAAUGGCACUGCCCGGUAGCUAAAUGCGGAAGAGAUAAGUGCUGAAAGCAUCUAAGCACGAAACUUGCCCCGAGAUGAGUUCUCCCUGACUCCUUGAGGGUCCUGAAGGAACGUUGAAGACGACGACGUUGAUAGGCCGGGUGUGUAAGCGCAGCGAUGCGUUGAGCUAACCGGUACUAAUGAACCGUGAGGCUUAACCUU